GUUCUAUUGUGUAUUCCAAAAUAUUUAACUGUCUGACAAUGGUGGCCAACUUUGGGAUCCCCUGUGGGAAUCAACCUUGUAUUUUCACAAUUGAUUUCUUUUGAUUGUCACUCUCCAAGAUGUUUUCUCCCUACUAGACACGUCCUAGGCUACGACAAUUAUAAAAACAGUGUACUGUUUAUGCACUGUAUUAUGUUAAGCAUUGGCAAUCCCGGAUUUGUGAAUUGUGAACAACACAGGCCGAGUGGAGCGAAAUGACAGACUGAAUACAGCCCUACAGGUGAACGGGUUGGAGAUGAGGAAGUGGAUGGAUGAGCUGUUCCCCAUCAUCAUGGACAUACUCUGUGAAUCCUCUUCCCUAGCCAAGAGAAGAGUGGCACUGUGGACUUCAGGCAAACAAGUUUCCAGCACGGGAUACGUGGUGGAGACCUAAAACAAAUACCCCUCUCUUCUGGAGUUGCUACUCAACUUCCUCAAGAUGGAGCAAAAGCAGGGAAUAAGGAGAGGGGUACUCUUCAUUCUCCAUUGUGACUCCAUUUGGGCUUCACCCACAGUUUCAUAGAAGCAAUGGUUAAACUCAGAGCGACAGCACAAAAUGUUUUGUAUGACGCCAGAUGCAGCUGUCAAGAUUCACAACACUAAUAUAGCCCUAGGUGUGGUAACACCUUUGAAUUACACUCCUAGUUAAGAAUGAGGUGGAAAAUGCUCUUUGUUUCACCAUCUCACAUGUUACUACACCGGCUUUCUCCACUGAU
rnacentral:lncRNA from 13 species